UGCGGUAACACGUGGGAGAGUAGGUCGGUGCCAAAU
rnacentral:rRNA from 1 species